AGCCUAAAUAUUCCCUGGUGACCGAUAGCGGAUAGUACCGUGAGGGAAUGGUGAAAAGUACCGCGGGAGCGGAGUGAAAUAGUACCUGAAACCGUGUGCCUACAAGCCGUGGGAGCGUCGGACGUGCUUUGCGCGUCUCGUGACUGCGUGCCUUUUGAAGAAUGAGCCUGCGAGUUAGCGGUGUGUAGCGAGGUUAACCCGUGUGGGGAAGCCGUAGCGAAAGCGAGUCCGAAGAGGGCGUUUGAGUUGCACGCUCUAG
rnacentral:rRNA from 1 species